AUUGAACGCUGGCGGCAGGCCUAACACAUGCAAGUCGAGCGGAGCGGCGGACGGGUGAGUAAUGCCUAGGAAUCUGCCUGGUAGUGGGGGAUAACGUCCGGAAACGGGCGCUAAUACCGCAUACUAUCAGAUGAGCCUAGGUCGGAUUAGCUAGUUGGGGGGGUAAAGGCCUACCAAGGCGACGAUCCGUAACUGGGUUGAGAGGAUGAUCAGUCAAGCUGGAAAUGGAACACGUGCAGGCCCACUACGGGAGGCAGCAGGGGGGAGUAUGGGCCAAGGGGCGAAAGCCUGUUCCAUCCAUGCCGGGUGUGUGAAGAAGGUCUUCGGAUUGUAAAGCACUUUAAGUUGGGAGGCGUUACCAACAGAAUAAGCACCGGCUAACUUCGUGCCAGCAGCCGCGUAAUAC
rnacentral:rRNA from 1 species